UACAGAGGUCCCAAGCGUUGUUCGGAUUCAUUGGGCGUAAAGGGUGCGUAGGUGGCGUCGUAAGUCGGGUGUGAAAUUUCGGAGCUCAACUCCGAAACUGCAUUCGAUACUGCGGUGCUUGAGGACUGGAGAGGAGACUGGAAUUUACGGUGUAGCAGUGAAAUGCGUAGAGGUCGUAAGGAAGACCAGUGGCGAAGGCGGGUCUCUGGACAGUUCCUGACACUGAGGCACGAAGGCCAGGGGAGCAAACGGG
rnacentral:rRNA from 1 species